GGUGUUUCCCUAUUGUCACAAUGUCACACGAAUUAAUUUUGCCUUUCAUUUUACCACAAUCAAACAUACUUACAAACAAGUUGUCAUCACAAGGGCUUUUUCAUGGCUUGUAACAUGGCUGGACUAAGAAGGAAAUUGGUUUUUCUGGUCAGCAAAGUUCCUUGAGUUAAGAGAGACAUUUAUGAAUUCAUCUUUCAAUCACAACUCUCUUUUCUUUUUCCCAGCCUUCCCUUGCAGUGAGCUUCUUCUUUUUUUUCUUUUUGAAUUUUUCUUUUCUCACUUUUUCUUUUCUUUUGCCUUUUUCUUGCGUUUUCUUUUGAUUGCUCACUUCCAAGAGAGGUUGUUUGUGUCCUGGUAACCCCAAACUUGAACCUUUAUCAAUACCUCAUCAAAUUUUCC
rnacentral:lncRNA from 1 species